GCGCCUGUAGCUCAGCUGGAUAGAGCGUCGGUCUACGAAACCGAAGGCCGCAGGUUCGAGUCCUGCCAGGCGCA
rnacentral:tRNA from 1 species